rnacentral:rRNA from 1 species
AGAGUUUGAUCAUGGCUCAGGAUGAACGCUGGCGGCGUGCCUAACACAUGCAAGUCGAACGGAGUUAUAUUUAUGAAGUUUUCGGAUGGAUUAAAUAUAACUUAGUGGCGGACGGGUGAGUAACGCGUGGGUAACCUGCCUCAUACAGGGGGAUAACAGUUGGAAACGGCUGCUAAAACCGCAUAAGCAUACAGUGUCGCAUGACACAGUGUGAAAAUAUUUAUAGGUAUGAGAUGGGCCCGCGUCUGAUUAGCUAGUUGGUAGGGUAACGGCCUACCAAGGCGACGAUCAGUAGCCGGCUUGAGAGAGUGACCGGCCACAUUGGGACUGAGACACGGCCCAAACUCCUACGGGAGGCAGCAGUGGGGAAUAUUGCACAAUGGGCGCAAGCCUGAUGCAGCGACGCCGCGUGAGCGAAGAAGGUUUUCGGAUUGUAAAGCUCUGUCCUUUGGGAAGAAAAAAAUGACGGUACCAAAGGAGGAAGCCCCGGCUAACUACGUGCCAGCAGCCGCGGUAAUACGUAGGGGGCGAGCGUUGUCCGGAUUUACUGGGCGUAAAGGGUGAGUAGGCGGUAACGUGUGUCAGAUGUUUAAUCUA